ACGAAGUGAGUGGCGAACGGGUGAGUAACACGUGGGUAACCUGCCCAGAAGUAGGGGAUAACACCUGGAAACAGAUGCUAAUACCGUAUAACAGAGAAAACCGCAUGGUUUUCUUUUAAAAGAUGGCUCUGCUAUCACUUCUGGAUGGACCCGCGGCGUAUUAGCUAGUUGGUGAGGUAAAGGCUCACCAAGGCAGUGAUACGUAGCCGACCUGAGAGGGUAAUCGGCCACAUUGGGACUGAGACACGGCCCAGACUCCUACGGGAGGCAGCAGUAGGGAAUCUUCCACAAUGGACGCAAGUCUGAUGGAGCAACGCCGCGUGAGUGAA
rnacentral:rRNA from 1 species